UACGUAGGGGGCAAGCGUUGUCCGGAUUUAUUGGGCGUAAAGGGCUCGUAGGUGGCCAACUAAGUCAGACGUGAAAUCCCUCGGCUUAACCGGGGAACUGCGUCUGAUACUGGAUGGCUUGAGUUUGGGAGAGGGAUGCGGAAUUCCAGGUGUAGCGGUGAAAUUCGUAGAUAUCGGGAGGAACACCGGUGGCGAAGGCGACCAUCUGGACGGAUACUGACGCUGAGACGCGAAAGCGUGGGUAGCAAACAGG
rnacentral:rRNA from 1 species